AGUGAACGCUGGCGGUAGGCCUAACACAUGCAAGUCGAACGGCAGCACGGAGAAGCUUGCUCCUUGGGUGGCGAGUGGCGGACGGGUGAGGAAUACAUCGGAAUCUACUCUGUCGUGGGGGAUAACGUAGGGAAACUUACGCUAAUACCGCAUACGACCUACGGGUGAAAGCAGGGGAUCUUCGGACCUUGCGCGAUUGAAUGAGCCGAUGUCGGAUUAGCUAGUUGGCGGGGUAAAGGCACACCAAGGCGACGAUCCGUAGCUGGUCUGAGAGGAUGAUCAGCCACACUGGAGCUGAGACACGGUCCAGACUCCUACGGGAGGCAGCAGUGGGGGAUAUUGGACAAUGGGCGCAAGCCUGAUCCAGCCAUACCGCGUGGGUGAAGAAGGCCUUCGGGUUGUAAAGCCCUUUUGUUGGGAAAGAAAUCCAUCUGGUUAAUACCCGGGUGGGAUGACGGUACCCAAAGAAUAAGCACCGGCUAACUUCGUGCCAGCAGCCGCGGUAA
rnacentral:rRNA from 1 species